AUUGAACGCUGGCGGCAGGCCUAACACAUGCAAGUCGAGCGGAGCGGCGGACGGGUGAGUAAUGCCUAGGAAUCUGCCUGGUAGUGGGGGAUAACGUCCGGAAACGGGCGCUAAUACCGCAUCCUAUCAGAUGAGCCUAGGUCGGAUUAGCUAGUUGGUGGGGUAAGGGCCUACCAAGGCGACGAUCCGUAACUGGUCUGAGAGGAUGAUCAGUCACACUGGAACUGAGACACGGUCCAGACUCCAACGGGAGGCAGCGGUGGGGAAUAUUGGAAAAUGGACGAAAGCCUAAACCAGCCAUGCCGCGUGUGUGAGGAAGGUCUUCGAAUUGUAAAGCACUUUAAGUUGGGAGGCGUUACCAACAGAAUAAGCACCGGCUAACUACGUGCCAGCAGCCGCGGUAAUUC
rnacentral:rRNA from 1 species